UUGUAAUUUUAAAAUGAUCUCUGAUUGUAAAAUGUUUGGUGUCUUGACCGUUACGAACAUAAUAGCUUUCAGUAUGAUUGCUAAAAUAACAGCCAAUGAAUCAUAAGUUUGGCUCAAAAAGUCCGUAGCAGUGGUGUAAUUAUAAAUUAAAAACGAAAGUAGAAAGGUUGCGCAGCUGUCUGCUAGAAAACAUGGCGAUGCUCAUUGUGUCCAUGUGGAAAAAAAGAAGUUACGAACAUAAUAGAUUCGAUUUACAAGAAAUGACUGAAUUAUGUUCGUAACAAUGACACAAAGAUCCAAGACUCAAAAUAGAAGACCUAGGAUAUUUAGUUAUUCAUCUGACAAUUUACUUGUCUGCAUUAAUUCUAUUUGAAAGCUUGUCUAUUAUUAAGCUUUGAAAUGAAAUAUUAAAAGUAUUAAAGACAAGUGUUCGAUUGUCUUGUUAUUUUUUUGUUCCUUUUUAAAGCCUGAUUCGGAGUUAGGUGUCCAUGUUACUUACAUAAUUUCUCCUUUUUUGAAACUAGAAAUAAAAAU